rnacentral:rRNA from 1 species
GACUGCAGGCUGCAACUCGCCUGCACGAAGUCGGAAUUGCUAGUAAUCGUAGGUCAGCAUACUACGGUGAAUACGUUCCCGGGCCUUGUACACACCGCCCGUCACACCAUGAGAGUCGGGAACACCCGAAGUCCGUAGCCUAACCGCAAGGGGGGCGCGGCCGAAGGUGGGUUCGAUAAUUGGGGUGAAGUCGUAACAAGGUACC